rnacentral:rRNA from 1 species
CACAGAGGUCUCGAGCGUUGUUCGGAUUCAUUGGGCGUAAAGGGUGCGUAGGUGGCGCUGUAAGUCGGGUGUGAAAUCCUGAGGCUUAACCUCGGAACUGCAUCCGAUACUGCGGCGCUUGAGGACUGGAGAGGAGACUGGAAUUCAUGGUGUAGCAGUGAAAUGCGUAGAGAUCAUGAGGAAGACCAGUGGCGAAGGCGGGUCUCUGGACAGUUCCUGACACUGAGGCACGAAGGCCAGGGGAGCAAACGGG